AGGAAGAACGACCCCAGUGGCAGCGGUCAGCUCUGGAGCCCUGGAUUCAGCUCCCGCAGGAACUCCGGAGCUCUCCGUCUGCAGGGCCUGGAGGCUCCGGGGUGGG
rnacentral:pre_miRNA from 1 species